CCAACGUGUCAAUCAUGAAAACGAGGUUCUAUACCCAAGAUGACGACGUACUUUCUGGAAGGGUGUAUUAUCCAGAUAGUUUAGGUAUAAAUAUAAUUCUAGAUAAUUAUUGGAGAUAGUUUAGGUAAACUUGUAGUAAUUUUAGUAACACAUGCACAAUAUAUAUACGUAGUUGUAAACUAUUAUUUUUCUCAAUAUAUCAACAUACGUCUGUGUCUCUGAGUGUGUCGACACCGGGCAAGCUGAAAAGUUUGCUUGAUCGCAGUGCGAAUCGAACCCGCAACCUUUGUUUUGCUAUAGCCAUACCAAACCAUUGGAAUGAUGUUG